GGAGUGGACCGGAGGAUCGCCGCGCCGGAUUUCCGGCGUGGAGGAAAGUCCGAACUCCUACGGGCAGCAGGCUGGCUAACGGCCAGGCGCGGCGACGCGACGGACAGUGCAACAGAAAACAAACCGCCGACCCGCGCUCGCAAGAGCGCGGAGGUAAGGGUGAAACGGUGCGGUAAGAGCGCACCGCAUCGCACGCGAGUGUCGAUGGCACGGCAAACCCCCUGCGGAGCAAGACCAAAUAGGGACGCAAUGGAUUCGCCCGUAUCCGUUCGAGUGUCCGGGUAGGUUGCUCGACCGCCGCGGUAACGCGAGCGGCAGAUGAAUGAUCCUCGCCCCUCACGGGGAGACAGAAUUCGGCUUACACGUCCGCUCCACGC
rnacentral:RNase_P_RNA from 1 species